GCCAGAGUAGCUCAGGGGUUAGAGCACUCGUUUCAUAAGCGAGCCGUCGUGAGUUCGAAUCUCACCUCUGGCA
rnacentral:tRNA from 1 species